CAUGCAGAGAGGGAGAUAGGCGUGGGAUGGCAGGGAGGGAAAGAGACAUGGAGGAGUGAGGCUGCCAAAAAAGGGGUUAGGGUUGAUUUUUUCUCCUCAAAUCAAGGGUUGGUGUCGGUGAUUGAGUGAUUGAGAGAUUGAGAGAUUGAGAGAGACAGUAACACACGCCUUCAUUUCCCUUUCUCAAAGUGAAACCCUAGCAGCCACACCACCAACUCUAGCCGAUCUCUGCAAUAGUGUCGGCUCCUGCUUCCGAAAACCCAAACCGCACAAACCUGGCCUCCAUUUCUGUAACUCGGAGCUUCGUCUCUCUGGGUCAGAUGGACUGGCCUAAACAUCAAAUUGUCAUCAAAUGGUGGAAUAGUGGAGCGGUGUAGGUGUCUGAUAAGAAAGCAAAGGCCUGGUAUGCUUCCAAGGGAAACAUACUUUGAGACUUCUGCAAAACAGGGCUGCCAUGUAGAUGAUGCCUUCCAGUGUACAGCCAAAAACGCGCUGAAGAAUGAACCUGAAGAAGAAAUGUACACAUUGAUGGGAAAGAGGUGGCUCAAAAGCGAAGAAACAUGGUGACUUUGAGGAGGAAAAGAAAAGAGGAGAAAACACGUUUGAGAGAUUAACAGAGAAAGCGUAAGAAACAGAUGAAGGGAGGAGAUUGAGCUGAAUGAUCUCGGUCAAGCAACAAUCGUAAUUGAAUUUAUAUCAUUGGAGGGCGAAGUUGGUUCCUUGACAUUUUGAGCCGUUUGCUCUCUCCUCUCUUCGCCUCUGUUGGUCCCAAAGUGGAUGGUUUUGCGGGGAUUCAGGUUUUUAUUUUUCUGGAACUUUUGUUUGCAGCUUUGGAAGACAUUUGUGCUUAAGAACCGAAGAGGAUGUUAACAAUAACAUUAUUGUGUGAUAUGCGAUCUAAAGUUCUUUGGUGAGUUAUUUGGUUUUCUUGCCACAUGGGAUUUUAUUAUAUAUUUUUUUCGUGGUUUAUGCGUGGUUCUCUGAUGUGUUUUGAUUUUUGAUUUCAAGAAAAGUUAAGGAUACGAUCAAACGUUUACUGGUGAAUUUUCUAUUUUUCUGAUUGUGUGUGAUUUAAUUUUUUUCAAGCUUUGGGUGUACUUUUCUGAUCUGCUUUGAUUUUUAGUUGCAGCAAAAGUUGUUGCUCGAAUUUUCCAGUUUUUAUCUGCAGCUUUGCAAGCUCUUUAUCAACAAGCUUCUUCGAUCUGCAGCCCCCUUCUUUUUUUUCCUUUUCCAGAUUUAGCUUUUUUCCCCUAUAUUGUAUCUUUUGGCUGAUUUUGUGGGUCUUGGUCAGUGCUGUGGGCAUUGGUGAAUUCCUAGCAUGUUUAUGCAUGCAGUUUUUGUUAUAAUGUAUGGAUUGUGUUUUGUUCAAUUUUAAAUGUCAGAAGCUUUUAAUUUUUUUGGGUUCAAUUUUAAAUGGGUUGUUAUCAACCAUUGAAUUUCUUUUGGAGUAUUCAUUUGAUAAGAGAGAUUAUUGGGAAAUUUCUAUCGUGUUUAUGCAUGCAUUUUUUUGUUAUAGAUUUGGAAGAACAUAGCAUUACAGGGUGUUGAGGGUUUGCUGGCGGGGGAAAGUAGCAGCGUUAAGAUUUUGCAAGUGAGAUAUUAGGGUGAGAGAAAAACGGGACAAAGAGCAUCGAAGACGCAUUUGGGAUUAGGGGUAGCAAAACAGGGGAAAAGAAUAUGACAAAGGAAUGGACGCUUAAUUUUUUUCUUAACUGGUUUGGGAUUUUGCUUGCCUUUGGGGUUGUUGGUGUCAAGCCAUUUGGUGUCAAGUGGUGUCUGUUUUUUCAUAACUUUUAUUACUAAUUUUUAUUUCGUUUGCGAUUUUGUGUCCUGGGAUUUCUGAAUUUUAUCGUUCAUUGUCGGUUUUUUUAAUUUUUUUUGUCUUCAUUUGUUUGUUUAAUAUGUUGUGUUUGUGCUGGGACGCCAUUUUGCAAGUUUUCUUUCCAUUGGGACCGCUACGUUUUAUAAGUGAUGCGGGUGAGGUUUAGAUACUCAAAACACUCCAUUUUUUUUCCAAAUAUGCGCGUUUGGUUCUCUUCGGUUUUAAAUGUUUAAAAUUAAAUGGUUAUUUUGAUAAAAUGGUUUUUUAGUUUUUCUUAUGUGUUGUGAUCAGGAAUUCAAUUGGAUUGGGUAAAAUGCUUUAUCAAUUUACGUUAUAGGGAAUUUUGUGUAUUAUGGUCUGUGAGUUUUAUUGCUCAUCGUUUGUUCUUUUUUCUUUGUUUGCCGGUUUCUUUUGCAAGGGAUCACUAUAGUUUGGGCAUCUUUUCGAGUUUUAAAUUGCUUGAGGGUAAGAUUUAGAUAAUAAAAUUCGAAACGAGGCGUUACUUUUCUUUUUGGAAACUAAUUUAAAAGUUCAGCAUGGAUAGUUAACUGUGUUGAAAUGUCUUGAUAAAACCUGAACCUUUUGUUAUAUGUGAAUGUUCAUUCCUUACUACAAAUAUAAUAGGCAUAGUGGUCUAAAAAAUUAAAACCCACUGACACAUGACAUUAGAAAUUCAAACCAAUUUCUACUGUUACCAUUACCUUCUUUCAUUCAGAUCAUCAGCAUGUAGUUCAAAUCUAGAUCAAACCUAGAUGAAAUUCAAGUGAUAAGAUUUAUUGUCAUUGUUUCAAUAAUUUACAUUGUUUUAGUACCCAGGUUUACAGCAUGAGUCGAAGAUCCAAGAACAUUUUGGCAGACUUUGAUAUUGAAGACACUAAUUUUGCUCCUUGUUUUGUACUUUAAUGUCCAACUUUUUACAUGUUUUAUACACCGACACCCGCAGCAACGCGCGGGCACUAUGACUAGUCACUAUCUAUAAGGGACAAAGCCUUAUAAAGUGAGGAAACCUCUUGGUAAUGGCCAAUGUGGGACAACAAAAUUUCUACUCAAAAUUUCUAACAAAAGUCCCAUAUUGGUGAGGGAAAGGAAGAAUUUAAAUAAAAUUACCGCUCUAACUAACACC